AUACGGAAGGUCCGGGCGUUAUCCGGAUUUAUUGGGUUUAAAGGGAGCGCAGGCGGAGAUGCAAGCGUGACGUCAAAUUUCGGGGCUCAACCCCGUCUCGCGUCGCGAACUGCGUCCCUUGGUUGCGGGAAGGGGAGGCGGAACUCGUGGGGUAGGGGGGAAAUGCAUAGAUAUCACGAAGAACUCCGAUCGCGAAGGCAGCCUUCCGGCCCGUCAACGACGCUCAUGCUCGAAGGUGCGGGUAUCAAACAGGAUUAGAUACCCUGGUAGUCCGCACAGUAAACGAUGGACACCCGCGGUUUGGCCUAUAUGGCUGAGCCGCCAAGCGAAAGCGUUAAGUGUCCCACCUGGGGAGUACGCCGGCAACGGUGAAACUCAAAUGAAUUGACGGGG
rnacentral:rRNA from 1 species